AUGGCGUGCCAGCAGGCGCAGUAGGAAAGAAGAAGUCGGUGGAGCUUAGCGCUGGUUCGAUUGUCGGAGUCGAUGGAGAACAUUGAAUAUUUGUUUGUUUUGAACAAAUAUACCUUAUAAGGAAACUGAUCCUUGGAGAACCAUUCAUGGCUAGCAAGGAAAACACCAGACUUCUAGGUUAUGAGUUAUGACAAUGAAGAGCUAACAAGGAAACCAAUAAAGUGAAAAAGGUUACCAUGAAAAAAAA